rnacentral:lncRNA from 1 species
GGUAUUUUUGCCCAUGUCGCAUGUAUGCUUUUGGAGUAUCGGUAGGUGCAGAUCGGUAGGUGCAGACCUACAGUAUUUUGUGUGGAGCCGUAGAAAAUGAGUAAUAAAUUACUAAAUUAACGAGAAAUUGAAAUAAUUGUCAUGAUGGGAAACAAACUUUUGAAAUUUCGAGGACUAUAUAUAUGGUGAUUCUGUUUCCAUAUGUUAAUAAAUAAACAACAAAAGCUGAAAAGCACUACAGGUGAGGCAUUUUUCAAAAUUUUAAUGAAACACUUGUACUGUACCAUACACUCAUUUAUUGAAAUAUACUAUAAUUUAUUACUAUUAUAUAAUAUUUCAACUCGAUUACUACUUGUAUAUAAUGCACAUAUCAAUGGCCAGCCCUGGGGGUACACCCCCGGGACUUUGCAAAAACAUGAUUCUAAUGCAUUAAUUCCCCCUUCCUCCCCCGGGAAAUGUGUAAGUCAAACUGCCCUCCCCUGGGCUUACAAUAAAGUAGUUCAUAAUAUAAAUAGCAUACAAACAAUUAAAAAUUAUUAUACAAACUGGGGUAUCACAAUGGCACUCAUGUAUUCCGUAUUUAUUUAUUUAUUCAAAUUUUAGCAAGACCACUACAAAAUAUAAAUAAUAAGUUGGCGAUCGAUAUUUUUCUGUGUGAGCCUGCGAUUUUGAGUUCACACCAAUUAUGUACUUCCUUUAUAAAAUUCAAAUUGUCACGUCAAAGUCCCCUACUUCCCCUCCCCCCAUCGUCCUAUUAUUGCGAAGUUUGUAAGGGAUGGUCAUUAUUUAUGGGGAGGGGGGGGGGUUGGGAAAUGGGAGGGGGGAAACAAAGUUUUACCCUUAUAAAUAGGGGAGAUCAAAAAAGUUAAAUACCAUGUCUAGAGUUUUGAUUUCUAUAAUCACAAAUAGCAAAAAAGAAGACUCUGAAAAUGCUAUUUCCAACAAUCUAGAGACUCAAAAUUUUCAAAAUUUCCCUGCUCGGGGGUGGGCAUCUACAAAAAGGGACCAUACUAUAUUGAGUGUGGAGAGAUGACAGAUGGUUGUUGACAAAAAGUUUGGUGUGGUAUCGUAUGUACUAGUAGGGGGGUCCGGGGAUUCUCCCCCAGAAAAUUUUUUGUAUUUUUCCACCCCUAGAACUGAAAUGUGAGCAUUUUCUGAAACAGAUUUUUGGAUAUACAGCGUUACAUUGUGCAUUGAUAGACUGAAUCUGAUCAGUUAAGUGUAUUUGCAUGGUAUGUUUAUGUAAAUAUCACAACUGGGUCACUCAGGGGGUAGCAAGCUUGUUAGACUUAGUGGGCCCGACUCCCAUGAUUGUGAGGCACUACCAUGGUUGGUGCCCAGACAAGUUCUUAAAAAAACCCUGUGUUCAAAUCAUUUUGCUGUAUGAAGAUGGGUCAUGGGUUAGGGUUAUGGUAGGACAAAUGUUGCAUUGCAAAGUAGUAACACAUAAUAUAUAUUUUUAAUCACAUAUGGUUGAAUCAUAUUCACCAGGGUAAAACAUCAUGAGCUAGAUUAAACAGAUUGUCCUAAUAUCUAACUUUACAUGCAAUGCACACCUGUUUCAUUGCUGUUAAUUUUUCAAUCCACACUGGGGGGUGGGGGUCAGAAAAGUUUCUACUUUUAUGAGGGAGGAGGCACAAAAAGUUUGCCUUCAGUCUGGAGGGGGGGUCAAAAAGUUUUCAAUCCUUAUUUUCCCCAUUUCCCAACACCCCCCCCCCAUAAAUAAUGACCACUCCCUAAUUUCCCCGGGGUUCACAGGCAGAACACACAGAUAAAAUACCAAAUUCCCCCUCGUUUCCCCCCAGUUGUCCCGGGGGUGUACCCCCCCGGGCAGGCGGUUGAUAUGUGCAUAAUUUUCUUUCAAAUUGUAUAAAAAGUAUGUUGUUCCUUUUGCAUUUCUACUACACAUAUAAUUUUAAUGUAUAAAUUUAUGAACACAGCCAUGCUUUGUUGAAACGAAACUUAUGUCUGUUUAUGUAUGUAUCAUCUAAAUAUUUACUGCUGUUUGUAUUUUUCAGAUUAUGGAAACUGCACAUUGUUGAUCAUGUCUACUCACAAUGUAUGCUGUGCACAUUAUGGGGAAAGUAAAUCUGCACUAAUUAAUACCCAAAUGUAUAUGGCUCUACGUUUGUCACUGGAAUCAUUGUUAUAUUCGAUGGCGAUUCAUGGCAAUAGAAUCAUAUUGUUUGACCAGGCAAAGGAUUAGUUAAUUAAGGAUCUAGCACGCCAGACAAUAAUUAUAUAUUAUUUUAUUAAACAUAUUCUUAUGUGAAUUAUUAAUUUUCAUUACAAAUUAG